rnacentral:rRNA from 1 species
UACGUAGGGUGCGAGCGUUAAUCGGAAUUACUGGGCGUAAAGCGCACGUAGGCGGAUUUGUUAGUCAGGGGUGAAGUCCCGGGGCUCAACCUCGGAACUGCCUUUGAUACUGCAAGUCUCGAGUCCGAUAGAGGUGGGUGGAAUUCCUAGUGUAGAGGUGAAAUUCGUAGAUAUUAGGAAGAACACCGGUGGCGAAGGCGGCCCACUGGAUCGGCAUUGACGCUGAGGAGCGAAAGCCAGGGGAGCAAACGGG